ensembl:lncRNA
CAGUUCCCUGUUAUUAUCUGUUUGACAUUGGCUGUCCACAGGAUCAUUCAUCAUGACAAAGACUUGGUGGACGAACAGAUAUCCUCUGACAAUGAUGCUGUUUCAUGGAUGGCUCACACAGCAGAUGGGCAGUAGAAAACCACAGAUACGAGGUCAGAUUCUCCGCGUUUCUGAGCUACAUCUGCAGGAAGGAGGUUACAGUUCUCACCAUAUGGAUUGAUCCAGAAUGGACUGCUGGAGAGUUGGCGGCCUUAUUUUAUAAGCAAUAAAUCCCAUUUUUCAUGACAGUGGCACAGGUAUCUCAGUCACUCCUGCAUCCCAUGCAUUUGCAGGGCAGGAUCACAGUGCCUGCACAGCAGUAUAGUACACAUGCAAAACCCUUCUACCCAAGGGUGGAGGGUUGCAUGCGCAGUUGGAGCUCAGCAAUCCUGGAGCACUCAGAAGCCACCA